GAUGAACGCUGACAGAAUGCUUAACACAUGCAAGUCUACUUGAACUUCGGUUUGGGUGGCGGACGGGUGAGUAACGCGUAAAGAACUUGCCUCACAGAUAGGGACAACAUUUGGAAACGAAUGCUAAUACCUGAUAUUAUGAUUUUAGGGCAUCCUAGAAUUAUGAAAGCUAUAUGCACUGUGAGAGAGCUUUGCGUCCCAUUAGCUAGUUGGAGAGGUAACGGCUCACCAAGGCGAUGAUGGGUAGCCGGCCUGAGAGGGUGAUCGGCCACAAGGGGACUGAGACACGGCCCUUACUCCUACGGGAGGCAGCAGUGGGGAAUAUUGGACAAUGGACCAAGAAUCUGAUCCAGCAAUUCUGUGUGCACGAUGAAGUUUUUCGGAAUGUAAAGUGCUUUCAGUUGGGAAGAAAAAAAUGACGGUACCAACAGAAGAAGUGACGGCUAAAUACGUG
rnacentral:rRNA from 1 species